rnacentral:rRNA from 1 species
GACGAACGCUGGCGGCGUGCUUAACACAUGCAAGUCAGGGGGCGGGGUAACCCGUCACCGGCGAUCGGGUGCGGAACACGUGAGCGACCUGCCCUGGUGUGGGGGAUAGCCGGCCCAACGGCCGGGUAAUACCGCAUACGGCGCCAGCUUGGAAGCGGGCGGCGAAACUCGCACGAGGCGCCAGGAGGGGCUCGCGGCCUAUCAGCUAGUUGGUGCGGUAACGGCGCACCAAGGCGACGACGGGUAGCUGGUCUGAGAGGAUGGCCAGGCACAUAGGGACGGAGAAGCGUCCCAGAGGCGGACGGGGGGCAGCAGUGGGGAAUAUGGCGCAAUGGGCGAAAGCGUGACGCAGCGACGCCGCGUGGAGGAUGAGGCCCGUCGGGGUGUAAACUCGGGUUGGCCGGGACGAAUGCCCCUCAUCGGCUGUGUUGACGGUACCGGGUGAGGAAGCACCGGCUAACUCUGUG